UACGUAGGGGCAAGCGUUGUCCGGAUUUAUUGGGCGUAAAGAGCGUGUAGGCGGCCAUGUAGGUCCGUUGUGAAAACUCGAGGCUCAACCUCGAGACGCCGAUGGAAACCAUGUGGCUAGAGUCCGGAAGAGGAGAGUGGAAUUCCUGGUGUAGCGGUGAAAUGCGCAGAUAUCAGGAAGAACACCCGUGGCUAAGGCGGCUCUCUAGUACGGUACUGACGCUGAGACGCGAAAGCGUGGGGAGCGAACAGG
rnacentral:rRNA from 1 species